UACGGAGGGUGCAAACGUUGCUCGGAAUCAUUGGGCGUAAAGCGCACGUAGGCGGCCUGUUAAGUCGGGUGUGAAAGCCCUGGGCUCAACCCAGGAAGUGCACACGAAACUGGCAGGCUUGAAUAUGGAAGAGGGUCGCGGAAUUCCCGGUGUAGAGGUGAAAUUCGUAGAUAUCGGGAGGAACACCAGUGGCGAAGGCGG
rnacentral:rRNA from 1 species